UACGAAGGGGGCUAGCGUUGCUCGGAAUUACUGGGCGUAAAGGGCGCGUAGGCGGAUAUCUAAGUCGGGGGUGAAAGCCCAGGGCUCAACCCUGGAAUUGCCUUCGAUACUGGAUAUCUUGAGUACGGGAGAGGUGAGUGGAACUCCGAGUGUAGAGGUGAAAUUCGUAGAUAUUCGGAAGAACACCAGUGGCGAAGGCGACUCACUGGCCCGGUUACUGACGCUGAGGCGCGAAAGCGUGGGAGCAAACAGG
rnacentral:rRNA from 1 species